rnacentral:lncRNA from 1 species
AUGGCGGGCCAGUUUGCGAAGCCAAGGUCAGACCCUUUUGAGGAGAAGAACGGAGUGAAGCUGCCUAGUUACAGGGGUGAUAAUGUGAAUGGGGAUGCAUUUGAUGCUGCAUCGAGAAUUCCGGAUCCGCAGAGGAUGAUAAGAGCCUACACCCAAUCUGUGGCUACUCUGAACCUGUUGCGUGCAUUUGCCACCGGAGGUUAUGCUGCCAUGCAAAGGGUCAACCAAUGGAAUCUGGAUUUCAUGGAGCGUAGUGAGCAGGGAGACAGGCAUCUUUUCUAUCCCCUAAAAUCUCAAAUCAGGCCAUAUUUAAAAAUCUUAUUCUUAUAUGGUUAAACUUUAAUGUGGUUUGCGCUUGGGAUGGAUGUAUUUGAAAAUGCACUUUUUUCCCAUCUUGCUUAAAAGAUCAUGGAAACAAAAGGGUUAGAAUAAGUGGGAACGAAAUUGGAAGUAGUCUGAGAUUAUUUGCACUUAAUUUUAAUUCGGAAAAUGGCAUCUCGGGCACAAACAUAUGGGAAGAAAAAUCAGAAUAAAAAAGUAGAAACAAUAAAAGAUGGGAUGAUGUUCAUUAUGUUGUUCCAAUAUCUUCAACUUUCUUGUAGUGGUCCUCUACUAAUUUACAUCUCUGAUCUAAAGUGGUAGUUCAUGCAUUAGUACUUUUCUUUUUCGUGCUUUCUGCAAAUGAUAUACAGAACUACAGAUCAUUUUAAAUUGAAAAAGAGACUUUUUAUUCUUGAGAUUGUUCUCUCAGAAAGUUUUCAACAUCCUGUUACAUUAGUUCUUGUUUGGUGGUGUGGGGUUACAGGUAUCGUGAAUUGGCUCAUCGAGUCGAUGAGGCUCUUGGCUUCAUGAUUGCUGCCGGACUAACAUCGGAGCAUCCAAUCAUGACUACAACAGAGUUUUGGACUUCCCAUGAGUGUUUGCUUCUUCCUUAUGAACAAGCACUUACCAGGGAGGACUCUACUACCGGGCUUCAUUAUGAUUGCUCAGCUCACAUGCUCUGGGUUGGGGAACGCACCCGCCAACUGGAUGGUGCUCAUGUUGAAUUCCUGAGAGGAGUUGCAAAUCCACUUG